CGCGUAGGCGGCCUGCUAAGUCUGGAGUGAAAGUCCUGCUUUCAAGGUGGGAAUUGCUUUGGAUACUGGUGGGCUGGAGUGCAGGAGAGGAAAGCGGAAUUACCGGUGUAGCGGUGAAAUGCGUAGAGAUCGGUAGGAACACCAGUGGCGAAGGCGGCUUUCUGGACUGAAACUGACGCUGAGGCGCGAAAGCGUGGGGAGCAAACA
rnacentral:rRNA from 1 species